UACGUAGGGUGCAAGCGUUGUCCGGAAUUAUUGGGCGUAAAGAGCUCGUAGGCGGUUUGUCGCGUCGACUGUGAAAACCCGAGGCUUAACCUCGGGCCUGCAGUCGAUACGGGCAGACUAGAGUUCGGUAGGGGAGACUGGAAUUCCUGGUGUAGCGGUGAAAUGCGUAGAUAUGCCAUAGAACACCAAUUGCGAAGGCAGCUGGCUAGACCUGGAUUGACGCUGAGGCACGAAAGCGUGGGGAGCGAACAGG
rnacentral:rRNA from 1 species